UCUGGGCCGCACGCGCGCUACACUGACAGAGCCAACGAGUACAUCUCCUUGGCCGGAAGGUCUUGGGUAAUCUUGUUAAACUCUGUCUGUCGCUGGGGAUAGAGCAUUGCAAUUAUUGCUCUUCAACGAGGAAUGCCUAGUAAGCGCAAGUCAUCAGCUUGCGUUGAUUACGUNCNUGCCCUUUGUACACACCGCCCGUCGCUACUANCGAUUGAAUGGCUCAGUGAGGCCUUCGGACUGNCCUAGGGAGGUCGGCAACGACCACCCAGGGCCGGAAAGUUCGUCAAACUUGGUCAUUUAGAGGAAGUAAAAGUCGUAACAAGGUUUCCGUAGGUGAACCUGCGGAAGGAUCAUUA
rnacentral:rRNA from 1 species